GUACAGGUGCUCAUAAGAGCCUAACAGAGAAGUCCGGUGCAAAACCGGCGCGGUCCCGCCGCUGUAAGGGGGAGGACGCUUCACUAUGUCACUGAAAUUUUAUUUUGGGAAGACGAAGCAGACCAGGAACCCGAGCCAGAAGAACUACCUGUCUU
rnacentral:ncRNA from 1 species